rnacentral:lncRNA from 1 species
GACUGUGUAUGUAACUAUGUGUGUGACUGUCAUGUAUAUGUAGCUCUGUAGUUAAGUGUAUGUCUAUGUAUCUGUUUAUGAGUUUGGCAUGUGCAUAAGAUUGUAAGUGUAACUGUGUGUAUUCAUGUGUGUGAGUGUCUAGAAGUGUGACUAGAUAUUUGUGUGUGCUUGCAUGUGUGAGUGUCUAUGUGUGGCAGUGAAACUGCAGAUGUGUGUGGCUGUAUCUAUAUUUGUGUGUGUGUGCAUGUGUCUGAGUGUGUGUAAGUCCUAAAUAGCACUCACACUAUUUACAGUGGUCUGAAAACACCUCUCUGGGUGCUCCUUUGCACCUGGCCACUGGGGACACUGCCAAGUCAUGAUGCUGGACUUUGCUGACUUUCUUUUCCAUUCUUUCUGUUUUUCAAAUGUUGACCUUUAGACACAUUUCAGGACAGCACAUUCCUGUGGGAAAUCUGUGAGGUGGAAAAUCAAAAUUCUCCUGAUGACUGUUUAUAAAGAAUAACGGCUAGCUCAUGUCUUCAGUGUUUUAUAGAAGUGCUCACAUGUAAUCUAAACAAGAACUCUACAAGAGAGGUAUCCAGAGCCACAUUUUAUAGAUAAGGAAAUUGAGGCUCAGAGAGGACUAGAAAUUUGGCUAAGCUCCUGCAGCUGAGUUGGGGGCUGCAUCUGACAAGUGGCCGUGGUUUCAAGUCUCUGGAGUCCCAUUUUUUUCUCUUCCAUGGAGUUUGUUUGCUGCAGUUUGAGGAGCCGAGGCAUAUGAUAAAUACCAGCAUGUGGAAACUGAGGCUCAGACAGUUCAAGUCAGCCACCCAAGGAGGUAAGUGGCACCACAAAACCUGAACCCAGGUCUGGUUCACAUCACGUCUAGCUCUUAAGCACUCUGCCGAUGCCCCAACACCUACAUCCUCAGUGUCUGAAUUGAAAAAUAUGAGAAAAUGAGAAACAAAUGCAGGUUUUGGUGGUAUCGGGCCUGGCAUUCGAAUCCCAGCUCUGCCACUUACAGCUGUGCAAGUUUGGAUGAGUGACUCCAUCUUUCUGAGCCUCAGAUCUCUCUUCUGUAAAAUGGGGAUCACCAGGCGAUUGUUUCUGUCUCAGGGCCUUUGAACCUGCUCUUCUGUCUCUGGGACAGUGUCCUCCCCGACCCCCACAUCUGCACAGCUCGCUCCCUCACCUUUCGGUUUGCUCAAACGUGGUCCUCGCAAACCCCUUCCUGGCUACCCUAUUUAAAAUCCUGCACCACCAUUCCGUAGUCCCUAUUCACUACUUGUACUUUAUUUUCCUCCUUAGCACUGACACUGUCCGACAUACUCUAAUUUUUAAAAUUAGAUUUGUGCAAAAGUAAUUGCGGUUUUUACCAUCAAAAGGAAUGGCAAAAACCGCAAUUGCUUUUGUACCAACCUAAUAGUUCUUUGUUUGUUAUCCCUCUUUUCACAAGGUUGCCAUUUCCAGAAGUCAGGGGUUUCUGUCUCUUUCAUUCACUGCUGUAUCCUCAGUGCCUAGAACUGUGCUGGGUACAGAGUAGGAAUAGAAUCAUUUUUUGCUAAAUGAAGGGAUGAAUGAAAGAUACCUACUUUAUUGCUUUUUGCGGGGCUUAAAUGAGAUAAUGUCUAGUAAGCCCACACUGAAGUUCAACAGUUAAGAAAGAGCUCAACCAGUGGUAGUGGUUUACUAUCAUCAUCAUCACCACCACCACCCUCAUAAUCCUCUUCAUUACUGGAAGUGUAUAAGGUGAGCUGUGGAUUCUCAGGCAGAAACCCUGAAAUGAAAGGAUCAGUGUUCCCAUCUUGGCAUAUCUUGGACUUCCUUGAUUCUCUCCUUACCUUAAAGAUGUUGCUUGUGAGGCUGGACACGGUGGCUCACGCCUGUAAUCCCAGCACUUUGGGAAGCCUAGGUGGGUGGAUCACU